rnacentral:rRNA from 1 species
GAAAGAUGGUUCUGCUAUCACUCUUGGAUGGACCUGCGGUGCAUUAGCUAGUUGGUAAGGUAACGGCUUACCAAGGCAAUGAUGCAUAGCCGAGUUGAGAGACUGAUCGGCCACAUUGGGACUGAGACACGGCCCAAACUCCUACGGGAGGCAGCAGUAGGGAAUCUUCCACAAUGGACGAAUGUCUGAUGGAGCAACGCCGCGUGAGUGAAGAAGGGUUUCGGCUCGUAAAGCUCUGUUGGUAGUGAAGAAAGAUAGAGGUAGUAACUGGCCUUUAUUGACGGUAAUUACUUAGAAAGUCACGGCUAACUACGUGCCAGCAGCCGCGGUAAUACGUAGGUGGCAAGCGUUGUCCGGAUUUAUUGGGCGUAAAGCGAGUGCAGGCGGUUCAAUAAGUCUGAUGUGAAAGCCUUCGGCUCAACCGGAGAAUUGCAUCAGAAACUGUUGAACUUGAGUGCAGAAGAGGAGAGUGGAACUCCAUGUGUAGCGGUGGAAUGCGUAGAUAUAUGGAAGAACACCAGUGGCGAAGGCGGCUCUCUGGUCUGCAACUGACGCUGAGGCUCGAAAGCAUGGGUAGCGAACAGGAUUAGAUACCCUGGUAGUCCAUGCCGUAAACGAUGAGUGCUAAGUGUUGGGAGGUUUCCGCCUCUCA